rnacentral:rRNA from 1 species
UACGUAGGGGGCGAGCGUUAUCCGGAUUUACUGGGUGUAAAGGGAGCGUAGACGGCAGAGCAAGUCCGGAGUGAAAGCCCGGGGCCCAACCCCGGGACUGCUCUGGAAACUGUUAAGCUGGAGUGCGGGAGGGGCAGGCGGAAUUCCUGGUGUAGCGGUGAAAUGCGUAGAUAUCAGGAGGAACACCGGUGGCGAAAGCGGCUCUCUGGCCUGUAACUGACACUGAGGCUCGAAAGCGUGGGGAGCAAACAGG